UACGAAGGGGGCGAGCGUUGUUCGGAAUUACUGGGCGUAAAGGGCGCGCAGGCGGCUCUGAAAGUCAGAUGUGAAAGCCCCGGGCUUAACCUGGGAAUUGCAUUUGAUACUCUGGAGCUUGAGUGUGGGAGAGGAGAGUGGAAUUCCCAGUGUAGAGGUGAAAUUCGUAGAUAUCGGGAGGAACACCAGUGGCGAAGGCGGCGACCUGGACGGACACUGACGCUGAGACGCGAAAGCGUGGGGAGCAAACAGG
rnacentral:rRNA from 1 species